rnacentral:rRNA from 1 species
UGGUGGAGUGAUUUGUCUGGUUAAUUCCGAUAACGAACGAGAUCUUUACCUGCUUACUAGACACGCUAAUCUUUACCAUUUAAGCCUUUCAGGAGGCGUUUGGUCCCAUCUUCGGAUGUGGACCCCCUUCCUGUUCGGUGGACUGAUUGGCGGAUGAGCUUCUUAGAGGGACUAUCUGCGAUUAGCAGAUGGAAGUUGAAGGCAAUAACA